rnacentral:tRNA from 1 species
GCUCAGUUGGUAGAGUACAAAGCUCUUAACCUUAUGGACGUGGGUUCGAGCCCCAU